rnacentral:rRNA from 1 species
GCACAAGCGGUGGAGGAUGUGGUUUAAUUCGACGCAACGCGAAGAACCUUACCUAGGCUUGACAUGCUGGUGAAAACCAUGGAAACAUGGUCCUCCGUAAGGGACAUCAGUACAGGUGGUGCAUGGCUGUCGUCAGCUCGUGUCGUGAGAUGUUGGGUUAAGUCCCGCAACGAGCGCAACCCUCGACCUUAGUUGCCAGCAUUCAGUUGGGCACUCUAAGGUGACUGCCGGCUAAAAGUCGGAGGAAGGUGGGGAUGACGUCAAAUCAUCAUGCCCCUUAUGACCUGGGCUACACACGUGCUACAAUGGGCGGUACAAAGGGUCGCGAACCCGCGAGGGGGAGCCAAUCCCAAAAAGCCGCUCUCAGUUCGGAUUGCAGGCUGCAACUCGCCUGCAUGAAGCCGGAAUCGCUAGUAAUCGCGGAUCAGCAUGCCGCGGUCGAAUACGUUCCCGGGCCUU